rnacentral:lncRNA from 1 species
GAACAACUUUGAGGCUGGCAGCUUCUUGGUGUGAGCGUUUGGGCUCUGAAGGGUAAUGCUGCUGGGCACCCGGGCAGGUGGGCUCAGGGAAUGUCCCUGGGCAGGGGGGUUCAGCUGGUCUGGGGACAUCACCCUGUCCUUCUUAACACCAUAAAUCCUUAAAUACCGUGGUUGCUUUUUUCUCACUGUGCAGGAGGGAGGAUGAAUCAGCAC